CCUACGGGGGGCAGCAGUGAGGAAUAUUGGUCAAUGGGCUUACGCCUGAACCAGCCAAGUCGCGUGAGGGAAGACUGCCCUAUGGGUUGUAAACCUCUUUUGUCAGGGAGCAAUUGGCGCUACGUGUAGCGUUAUCGAGAGUACCUGAAGAAAAAGCAUCGGCUAACUCCGUGCCAGCAGCCGCGGUAAUACGGAGGAUGCGAGCGUUAUCCGGAUUUAUUGGGUUUAAAGGGUGCGUAGGCGGAAUGCCAAGUCAGCGGUAAAAUCGCGGGGCUCAACCUCGCUCCGCCGUUGAAACUGGCGUU
rnacentral:rRNA from 1 species